rnacentral:rRNA from 1 species
AGAGUUUGAUCCUGGCUCAGAACGAACGCUGGCGGCGGGCUUAACACAUGCAAGUCGAGCGCCCCGCAAGGGGAGCGGCAGACGGGUGAGUAACACGUGGGCAACCUGCCCCUCGCAGGGGGACAACCGGAGGAAACUCCGGCUAAUACCCCGUACGCUUGUUGGAUCGCAUCCGGCAAGGAAAGGUAGCUUCGGCCAUCCGGCGAGGGAUGGGCCCGCGUUGCAUUAGCUAGUUGGUGGGGUACGGCCUACCAAGGCGACGAUGCGUAGCUGGUCUGAGAGGAUGAUCAGCCACACUGGGACUGAGACACGGCCCAGACUCCUACGGGAGGCAGCAGCCAGGAAUCUUGGGCAAUGGGCGAAAGCCUGACCCAGCAACACCGUGUGGGCGAUGAAGGCCUUAGGGUCGUAAAGCCCUGUUGAUAGGGACGAAGGGCGAAGGGUUAAUAGCCCCUAGCUUGACGGUACCUUUCGAGGAAGCCCCGGCUAACUACGUGCCAGCAGCCGCGGUAAUACGUAGGGGGCGAGCGUUGUCCGGAAUUAUUGGGCGUAAAGAGCGUGUAGGCGGUUCGGUAAGUCUGCUGUGAAAUCCUGGGGCUCAACCCUGGGCGUGCAGCGGAUACUGCCGGGCUAGAGGGUGGUAGAGGCGAGUGGAAUUCCGAGUGUAGCGGUGAAAUGCGCAGAUAUUCGGAGGAACACCAGUAGCGAAGGCGGCUCGCUGGGCCACACCUGACGCUGAGACGCGAAAGCGUGGGGAGCGAACAGGAUUAGAUACCCUAGUAGUCC